rnacentral:rRNA from 1 species
CCUACGGGCGGCAGCAGUGAGGAAUAUUGGUCAAUGGACGAGAGUCUGAACCAGCCAAGUAGCGUGAAGGAUGACUGCCCUAUGGGUUGUAAACUUCUUUUAUAUGGGAAUAAAACGUUCCACGUGUGGGAUUUUGUAUGUACCAUAUGAAUAAGGAUCGGCUAACUCCGUGCCAGCAGCCGCGGUAAUACGGAGGAUCCGAGCGUUAUCCGGAUUUAUUGGGUUUAAAGGGAGCGUAGGUGGAUUGUUAAGUCAGUUGUGAAAGUUUGCGGCUCAACCGUAAAAUUGCAGUUGAAACUGGCAGUCUUGAGUACAGUAGAGGUGGGCGGAAUUCGUGGUGUAGCGGUGAAAUGCUUAGAUAUCACGAAGAACUCCGAUUGCGAAGGCAGUUCACUGAACUGCAACUGACACUGAGGCUCGAAAGUGUGGGUAUCAAACAGGAUUAGAUACCCCAGUAGUC